UACGUAGGGUGCAAGCGUUGUCCGUAAUUAUUGGGCGUAAAGAGCGUGUAGGCGGCCCGAUUAGUCCGCUGUGAAAGUCCAGGGCUCAACCCUGGAAUGCCGGUGGAUACUGUCGGGCUAGAGUCCGGAAGGGGCGAGUGGAAUUCCUGGUGUAGCGGUGAAAUGCGCAGAUAUCAGGAGGAACACCAAUGGCGAAGGCAGCUCGCUGGGACGUGACUGACGCUGAGACGCGAAAGCGUGGGGAGCAAACAGG
rnacentral:rRNA from 1 species